rnacentral:piRNA from 1 species
CGGCCAACUCCAGCUUGCAGUAUGGGC